rnacentral:rRNA from 1 species
UGGGGAAUAUUGCACAAUGGGCGCAAGCCUGAUGCAGCCAUGCCGCGUGUAUGUAGAAGGCCUUCGGGUUGUAAAGUACUUUCAGUCGGGAGGAAGGUGGUAAGGUUAAUAACCUUAUCAAUUGACGUUACCGACAGAAGAAGCACCGGCUAACUCCGUGCCAGCAGCCGCGGUAAUACGGAGGGUGCAAGCGUUAAUCGGAAUUACUGGGCGUAAAGCGCACGCAGGCGGUUGAUUGAGUCAGAUGUGAAAUCCCCGGGCUUAACCCGGGAAUUGCAUCUGAUACUGGUCAGCUAGAGUCUUGUAGAGGGGGGUAGAAUUCCAUGUGUAGCGGUGAAAUGCGUAGAGAUGUGGAGGAAUACCGGUGGCGAAGGCGGCCCCCUGGACAAAGACUGACGCUCAGGUGCGAAAGCGUGGGGAGCAAACAGG